AGAGAGAGACAUGCGCGCAUAUCAAUAAGCGGAGGAAAAGAAACUAACAAGGAUUCCCUUAGUAACGGCGAGUGAAGCGGGAAGAGCUCAAAUUUGAAAUCUUCAAGGUUUUACCUUGACGAAUUGUAGUUUAAAGAAGUGUUUUCUGCUGAAGUUUUGGUAAAAGUUCUUUGGAAUAGGACAUCAUAGAGGGUGAGAAUCCCGUAUUUGACCAUUAUUUUCAGCUUUGUGAUACACUUUCAAAGAGUCGGAUUGUUUGGGAAUGCAGUCCAAAAUGGGUGGUAAAUUUCAUCUAAAGCUAAAUAUUGGCGAGAGACCGAUAGCGAACAAGUACCGUGAGGGAAAGAUGAAAAGAACUUUGAAAAGAGAGUUAAACAGUACGUGAAAUUGUCAAAAGGGAAGCGUUUGACACCAGUGUUGUUUUCUCGAAAAUCAAUUAAAAAUGGCUCGAUUUUGUAUUGUUGAGACCUUAAAAGCUCACUGUACAUUUUUCGUGUCUUUUUUAAUGCACUUUUCGUUUAACAAGUCAACAUCAGUUUCUUUUGUUGUAAAAGGGUCAUUGGAAGGUGGCUUUCUUUUCGGAGAAAGUGUUUAUAGCCUUUGGCCUCUGCAAUCGGAGAGGACUGAGGUAUGCAGCGUAGACUCUUCGGGGUUAGAUACAUUUGUGCUAAGUUAUAGCUUUUUAUAGACAACUUGUUGACUAUAAUUAGUCUUGUAGCUUACUCGCUUAUGCUAUUUUACCUACGCUUAGGAUGUUGAGUCGUAGAGCACGCAG
rnacentral:rRNA from 1 species